GCUGGUGUAGCUCAGUUGGUAGAGCAACUGAUUCGUAAUCAGUAGGUCGGGUGUUCGAGUCACCCCACCAGCACCA
rnacentral:tRNA from 2 species